rnacentral:rRNA from 1 species
UACGAAGGGGGCUAGCGUUGCUCGGAAUGACUGGGCGUAAAGGGCGCGUAGGCGGCUGUGACAGUCAGGCGUGAAAUUCCUGGGCUCAACCUGGGGACUGCGCUUGAGACGUGUGGGCUUGAGUGGGGAAGAGGGUCGUGGAAUUCCCAGUGUAGAGGUGAAAUUCGUAGAUAUUGGGAAGAACACCGGUGGCGAAGGCGGCGACCUGGUCCUUGACUGACGCUGAGGCGCGAAAGCGUGGGGAGCAAACAGG